rnacentral:rRNA from 1 species
UGAGGAAUUUUGCGCAAUGGGAGCAAUCCUGACGCAGCAACGCCGCGUGGGUGAUGAAGGCCUUCGGGUCGUAAAGCCCUGUCAGGUGGGAAGAAUGUCCCGGGACUGAACAGGUUCCGGGAGUGACGGUACCACCAGAGGAAGCACCGGCUAACUCCGUGCCAGCCGCCGCGGUACUACGGAGGGUGCAAGCGUUAUUCGGAAUUACUGGGCGUAAAGCGCGUGUAGGCGGUCCUGCAAGUCUGAUGUGAAAGCCCCGGGCUUAACCCGGGAAGUGCAUUGGAAACUGUGGGACUUGAGUACUGGAGAGGAGGGGGGAAUUCCCGGUGUAGAGGUGAAAUUCGUAGAGAUCGGGAGGAAUAUCAGUGGCGAAGGCGCCCAUCUGGACGGUAACUGACGCUGAGACACGAAAGCGUGGGGAGCAAACA